AAGUUUCAACAACGGAUCUCUUGGCUCUCGCAUCGAUGAAGAACGCAGCGAAAUGCGAUAAGUAAUGUGAAUUGCAGAAUUCAGUGAAUCAUCGAAUCUUUGAANGCACCUUGCGCUCCUUGGUAUUCCUUGGAGCAUGCCUGUUUGAGUAUCAUGAAA
rnacentral:rRNA from 1 species